rnacentral:lncRNA from 1 species
AACAACCCAACCCAAGGAGAAGGGUAGAAGAAUCAUUUCCACAAAGGGAGGGGUGUGAGAUUAGUAAUAAAAGGGGGUGCAUCAUAAAAGCACAUGUAGACUUCAUUUUUUAGCACAUGUAUUACCUGCUUGUUCUAGAAACACACACUGCCAAAUUUGCUUAUUUGCACGUGGCCUUAGAUCCACUAUUUUCGGUGCACUUAUGCCACGCAGCUAAUCCAUGAAUCUCUUAUAAAUUCAUGGCAGCCCUCCAUGUACAAACACUUUUGGAUAUUUGAGAGAAUAGAUAUGCUGAAGCAUUUCCAGCGUCUUCUCUCCACCGAGAGUCAAAUUCUUGUGCUUCUUCCACCUUAUCCUCUAGCUUCCUUCCAAUGGUGAAGGCCUUCUGAGCUAGAUCCAUGCCACCAAAAGCACUUCCAACCAUUUCACCUAAUCACACUAAACUUCAUCCGCUGCACAUUCAGUUUCACAUUAGUCCAUUCAUCCGCUGCUGCUGUUCUUUGCCUUGGAAGCUCACAGAUCUGAACCAUAGCUCAAGGAUGGAGCUAUCAUAAUGUUAUGACUACGAUAGUCUGGAUGGUGAUGAUUUGAGUUAUGAGUUGAAUAUUGAGAUAUGUUGUGAUGUUAUGAUUAUAUUAGUCUGUAUUGUGAUGUUAUGACUAUUUUAGUCUGUGUUGUGAUGGUAUGAUGUUAAAUCGUAUACUAUGUUAUGUUCUUAGUUACAGAUAAGGAAGGGUAGAAGUAGCGCGACGAGAGAUAUGGCAUUAGUUGUUGGGAAUUUUAUUAUGUUUAAAGUAUUCUUCUAUACUUUUGAAUAAUGGAUUUUAAUAAUUGU